CAGGAGGGAACAUGUGUCAUGUACCCGGAGCAACAAAAAGCCCAAGUGACCCAGAGAAUGAAGGCUAUUACACAUAAAACUGCCAUAACUGCUUAAUUCCACAUCUUAAUAUGGACCAGUGCUUGCUUUCUCCAAGAAAGAAACAAAACACAGAACUGGAAUACCUGAAUUGCACGGUAUCACAGCAUCUCUGGAUUCUUACUGCUCCAUCCCAC